rnacentral:misc_RNA from 1 species
AACCUUAUGGACCUGCGGGCGUAUACCUGCGGAAGGAUCAUUAAAGAGAAAACUGCCCUUUGGGUAGAUCUCCCACCCUUUGUUUACCUUACCUUUGUUGCUUUGGCAGGCCCGUCUUCUGACUACCGGCUUUUAGCUGGUCCGUGCCUGCCAGAGGACCCCCAACUCUUGAUUUCAAGUUGUCCGAGUCUUAUAUAAUAGUAAAAACUUUCAGCAACGGAUCUCAGAUCGGAAGAGCAC